rnacentral:other from 1 species
CUUGCUUUUAUGGCUCGUGUGAUCAGUUUUAAUUUUGAAAGUUCUUUUUAUGGCAACAGGUACUGUUAAGUGGUUCAAUGAUUCCAAAGGUUUUGGCUUCAUCACUCCAGAUGACGGCGGCGAAGAUUUGUUCGCACACUUCUCCGCAAUCAACAUGAACGGUUUUAAGACCCUCAAAGAAGGUCAAAAAGUUCAAUUCGAAGUCACGCAAGGCCCUAAAGGCAAGCAAGCUUCCAACAUCCAGUCCUCGUAAUAUCGUGGCCAAGGUGUAAAAAAACCCCGUCUGCGGGGUUUUUUUUCG